AACGAACGCUGGCGGCAUGCCUAACACAUGCCAGUCGAACGAGACCUUCGGGUCUAGUGGCGCACGGGUGCGUAACGCGUGGGAACCUGCCCUUAGGUUCGGAAUAACUCCCCGAAAGGGGUGCUAAUACCGGAUAAUGUCUUCGGACCAAAGAUCUAUCGCCUUUGGAUGGGCCCGCGUUGGAUUAGCUAGUUGGUAGGGUAAAAGCCUACCAAGGCGACGAUCCAUAGCUGGUCUGAGAGGAUGAUCAGCCACACUGGGGCUGAGACACGGCCCAGACUCCUACGGAAGGGAGCAGUGGGGAAUAUUGGACGAGGGAGGCAAGCCUGAUACAGCAAUGCCGCGUAAGUGAGGAAGGCCUUAGGGUUGUAAAGCUCUUUUACCCGGGAUGAGAAUGACGGUACCGGGAGAAUAAGCACCGGCUAACUCCGUG
rnacentral:rRNA from 1 species